UGGGGGAAUAUUGCGGCAAUGGGGGGCAACCCUGACGCAGCAACGCCGCGUGAUUGAAGAAGGUCUUCGGAUUGUAAAAAUCUUUUAUCAGGGACGAAGAAGUGACGGUACCUGAUGAAUAAGCUCCGGCUAACUACGUGCCAGCAGCCGCGGUAAUACGUAGGGAGCAAGCGUUAUCCGGAUUUACUGGGUGUAAAGGGCGAGUAGGCGGGUCGGCAAGUUGGGAGUGAAAUGUCGGGGCUUAACCCCGGAACUGCUUCCAAAACUGUUGAUCUUGAGUGAUGGAGAGGCAGGCGGAAUUCCCAGUGUAGCGGUGAAAUGCGUAGAUAUU
rnacentral:rRNA from 1 species